rnacentral:rRNA from 1 species
GCCAGCAGCCGCGGUAAUUCCAGCUCUCAAAGUGUAUAUCGUCAUUGCUGCGGUUAAAAAGCUCGUAGUUGGAUCUGCGUCUGAGGACCUGGUCCAUCCAUUGGAUGAGAACUGGGCUCCUAGACUAAUAUUGCGAGUUUUCCAUACGUUACCUUGAUCGGUUGCGUAUGGUGGCUAGCAAGUUUACCUUGAAAAAAUUAGAGUGCUCAAUGCGGGCUAAUGCCUGAAUACUCGUGCAUGGAAUAAUGGAAUAGGAUCUCGGUUCUAUUUUGUUGGUUUUCUGAUCUGAGAUAAUGGUUAAGAGGGACGGACGGGGGCAUUCGUAUCGCUGCGUGAGAGGUGAAAUUCUUGGACCGUAGCGAGACGUACGACUGCGAAAGCAUUUGCCAAGAAUGUCUUCAUUAAUCAAGAACGAAAGUCAGAGGUUCGAAGGCGAUCAGAUACCGCCCUAGUUCUGACCGUAAACGAUACCAACUAGCGUUCCGUUGGCGGUAAAUACGCCUUGACGGGCAGCUUCCCGGAAACGAAAGUUUUUCGGUUCCGGGGGAAGUAUGGUUGCAAAGCUGAAACUUAAAGAAAUUGACGGAAGGGCACCACCAGGAGUGGAGCCUGCGGCUUAAUUUGACUCAACACGGGAAAACUCACCUGGCCCGGACACCGUGAGGAUUGACAGAUUGAGAGCUCUUUCAUGAUUCGGUGGUUGGUGGUGCAUGGCCGUUCUUAGUAGGUGGAGUG